AGUUAUUUUGCAGGAGGCUUCUCAGGGAUGAAGGCAAGCUGUCCCCUAGCUGAUCAGCUGGUUGGUGAGGACUCUUCACGAAGUCAGGGACCAUUGUGAAGAUGGAAGAAUGCCCACAAAAUCCAGCUUGAAACCUGCUGGCUCAGCAGUGCUGUGUUUCUUCUGUCCUAACCAGAAAGUUACCCUUCUAUUUGCGGAGAGCUAUUGCCUAUCGGCCUGGACCAGCAGAUAACUCAGCACUCAUGAUCAGCUGUCAAGCUCUAACGGAGUGUUGAGGCAGUCCCUGAAACCACAGCGCCAUUUUGUAGGAACUAAGAAGCCAACCUCAAGGAAUCACUCGCCCCAAGAAGACUUUGUUCUGAGCUGAUGUGUUUCUAGCCUGGUGGAGCCCCAGCUAUCCAAAGGAAGAGCUGUCAAGAAGAUUGGAACUUUGGUUUUUCCGAUUCACUCUUUUUUUCUCUCCAGCCAUCUGCCUUAAACAGCAGGAGAAAAGGAAACUCAGCCUUAAAGGUGGGGUCCUUCGGAAGGACUGACAGUGGGCUAGCUCUCCUGCUGCUGGGAACCUGAGUGCCUUUGGCUCCUUGUCCAGAGCUCAGCUUUACCACGGAGGUUACCUGCUUACCAUCAACAUCGAAACUUGCCUCUUCCCCUGGGUGUAUUCUCCCUCUUUUGUGUACAGUUUGGUUCCUCCAAACUGCUCUCCCUGUGAAGAAAGCCGAUGGAAUUCAGGGAGCCUGGCCAGCCACCCAGGCCUUUAUAAAGGUCCUCGUACCACAGGAUGUAUGGGAGACCCAAUAAAGACUUUGCAAAAUGCU
rnacentral:lncRNA from 1 species